CUCUACACCUCGGGAAAAAGCUCUAGGUAGAGAUUUAACAGCAAGAAUCAGUGGCUACGUAUCAUUUCUUAAUGAGUGUAGGCCUCUUUCUAUUAGCAUGGGGAAUGCAAUUCGCUUUCUUAAAGCUCGUAUAGCCAAGUUAUCUUUAACUCUUUCUGAGUCAGAAGCAAAAGCUGCUCUGUAUUCAGAUAUUGAGCGCUUCAUGAAUGAGAAGAUAGCAUUAGCUGGCAGAGUAAUAACAAGACAGGCAGUUAUGAAGAUCAGAGAUGGUGACGUUCUUCUCACGUAUGGCUCUUCCUCUGUUGUUGAGAUGAUUCUGCUACAUGCUUAUGAGCUCGGGAAACAAUUCCGUGUAAUAGUGGUUGAUUCUCGCCCUAAAUUUGAAGGCCGGGCACUACUUCGGAGGUUGGUAAGGAAGGGCCUAAGUUGUACAUAUACUCAUCUAAAUGCUGUUUCGUACAUUAUGCAUGAAGUCUCUAGAGUGUUAAUGGGUGCUGAAUCUGUAUUAUCUAAUGGGACUGUGUACUCUAUAAUUGGGACUGCAUGUGUUGCUAUGG
rnacentral:misc_RNA from 1 species